rnacentral:tRNA from 1 species
GCAUUGGUGGUUCAGUGGUAGAUUUGUCGCAUGUCAUGUGGGAGACCUGGGUUUGAUUCUCAGCCAAUGCA